AGAAUUCUGUGAACAGGAAGGCUGAGUGAGGACGCUGCCAGCCGCCAGGAGAAGCAAGAUGUAAAGAUACCGGCAAGCCAAGAGCCACGUGGCAAAGAAUUGAAACACACCCAAGGCUUGUUGGUGCAGAAAGCAUGCUGUGCAGAUUUUCAUCGCUUUUCUGACUGAUCCUGUAGGCAUUUUCUCCUAUAUUUGAAGACUUUGAAGAGAAGACUGACAUGGGUGUAACUUCUGACAUUCUGAGACACAAUCUCAGAGCAAACUCCCUGACCCUUUGGUUGUUACAUUCUUUCCAGCACUCCUGAGCCUU